rnacentral:rRNA from 1 species
UACGUAGGGGGCGAGCGUUAUCCGGAAUUACUGGGCGUAAAGCGCACGCAGGCGGUUCGCCAAGUUUGGAGUGACAGUUGUCGGCUCAACCGACAAAGGACUUCAAAAACUGGUGGACUUGAGGACGAGAGAGGAACAUGGAACUCCAGGUGUAGUAGUGAAAUGCGUAGAUAUCUGGAAGAACACCAAUGGCGAAGGCAAUGUUCUGGCUCGUUUCUGACGCUCAGGUGCGAAAGCCAGGGGAGCAAACGGG